CACUGUUAAAGCAGAAAUAUUUUUUGUUGCCAUUUCGUUUCGUUUCGCCGCUUGCUUUUUAUGUAUGGCGCGUGUGUUUUGUGUUAAAUUUGUAGCUUGAUUCCGACAAACCGGCCACGUAGAUAAGACAUUAAAAAGAACCAGAUACCGCAGCAGAUGGAAGCAAAAGCGAGAAGGGACGUGUUACGCUUCUUACGCGUCACAACUCUUAUACCAGGCACUCAUUUGUACAUCUGUAACUUAGUGGUUGAUUUCAAAUUUUACAUUUUUCUGCAUACAUCACUUCUCACGCCAACACGCUAUUUUAGCUCGGUUCUUUCUUGGCCCUUCCCUACAGAAUGCAAAUUCUAGUUUUCUUCAUUCUGAAAAUUGUGGCUGUGGGAUAUUUUUUGCCCUUUACGAGGAGGCUUGGCGAAUUUUUGAAAUACACUCUUAACAGUGUGAGCAUACAGCCAUCUGGAUGCAAAAUUUGCCUCUUAUAGUCUCUGAGAGUCUCUGAGUCUCUCAACAAGACGAACGGACAGACGGACGGACGGACGGACAGACAUACUUGGCUACAUCUACUCUGCUAUUGAUGCUGAUCAAGAAUAAAUAACCUUAUGGGGUGAAACGUCUUUCAUUCACUUUGUGCACAAAUACAAUAUACCCUAUUUACUUCUCGAAUACCGGGGAUAAAAACCUGUCAAAAAGUAGACAAAAAUGAAAGAAAGAGAGGAACCAGAAGGAGAGGGCAAAGCAAAGAGUUGAGAGGAUAAUGUGCAGGACAAUUGGCUACCUUCUUAGCCUUGGUUCAAUUGUGGGCAUCGAGGCUCAUGGAAAAUUUUCAAUUUGCUAUGCAAAUUGAAUUGAGCAGAGAGGAGAUAGGAGAGAUUCCACAUCGAUCUGGGUAUCUGGGGCUCUAGGCAAACACAUGUUGCAUGCCCCCAGAGCAGAGCAUUUCACUUCAGUGUCCACAUCCCCACGCCUUUGCACCCAUUGCCAUGAGACAACUAACUGCAUUUUUCUAUUCGAAAGUUUCUAUAUGUG
rnacentral:lncRNA from 1 species